UACAGAGGGUGCAAGCGUUGUUCGGAAUUAUUGGGCGUAAAGGGCGCGUAGGCGGUGCGGUAAGUCUGUAGUGAAAUCUCUGGGCUCAACUCAGAGUCUGCUGCAGAAACUGCCGUGCUUGAGUGUGGGAGAGGUGAGUGGAAUUCCCGGUGUAGCGGUGAAAUGCGUAGAUAUCGGGAGGAACCCCAGAGGCGAAGGCGGCGCUCUGGCUCGCAACUGACGCUCAGACACGACAGCAUGGGGAGCGAACGGG
rnacentral:rRNA from 1 species